UUCCGGUUGAUCCUGCCGGAGGCUACCGCUAUUGGAGUUCGAUUAAGCCAUGCGAGUAGAAAGAAUUUAGAUUCUUUGCGUACCGCUCAGUAACACGUGGGUAACCUGCCCUAUGCUGGGGAAUAACCUCGGGAAACUGAGAAUAAUGCCCCAUAGCCCACUACGCCUGGAACGGUGAGUGGGUCAAAGCUUCGGCGGCAUAGGAUGGGCCUGCGCCGUAUCAGGUUGUAGGGGGUGUAAAGUACCCUCUAGCCAUCAACGCGUACGGGUGUUGGGAGACAUUGCCCGGAGAUGGAUUCUGAGACACGAAUCCAGACCCUACGGGGUGCAGCAGGCGCGAAAACUUGGCAAUGCGCGCAAUCGUGACCAGGGAACUCCAAGUGCAUCGGGUAAGACCGGUGCUUUUCUUGACUCUAAAUAGGUCUUGGGAUAAGGGGUGGGUAAGGACGGUGCCAGCCGCCGCGGUAAUACCGGCGCCUCAAGUGGUAGUCGCUUUUAUUGGGCCUAAAACGUCCGUAGCCGGUCUGAUACAUUCGUGGGUAAAUCAACCAGCUCAACUGGUUGAAUUCUGCGAGGACGGUCAGACUUGGGACCGGGAGAGGUGUGGGGUACGCUCAGGGUAGGGGUAAAAUCCUGUCAUCCUGAGCGGACCACCUGUUGCGAAGGCGCCACACUAGAACGGAUCCGACGGUCAGGGACGAAGCCUAGGGGCACGAACCGGAUUAGAUACCCGGGUAGUCCUAGGUGUAAACGCUGUGGACUUGAUGUUGGGGGUGCUCCGAGCACUCUCAGUGUCGAAGCGAAGGUGAUAAGUCCACUGCCUGGGAAGUACGGUCGCAAGGCUGAAACUUAAAGGAAUUGGCGGGGGAGCACCGCAACCUGAGGAUUGUGCGGUUUAAUUGGAUUCAACGCCGGA
rnacentral:rRNA from 1 species